rnacentral:lncRNA from 1 species
AAUUAUGGCUCAAAGAUUCUAAAGUCUAAUGUUUAUAGGCAAAGCUUCAUUUUUAUGGAAUACAAAAUACUCUCUAUCUCCCACUUCUAAUCUCAAUAAGGGAAGCCACUUCUAAGUCAUGUCCUCCCAACACUCCCCGCAUAGUGGGACACAGCUCAUUCAGUCCUUGCAAAUGCCAUAUAGGAGUGAUGAGCUUCAUGUCUUGCACGUUUGGCAUUACACUUAUUCUAGGGUUGAGGUGAUUUGUAAUUUGAUACCAGGAUGAUUAUCCUGCUCUGCCUUGAUUAUUUGAAGUAUUGGUGUAAACUCUUUUCUUUUAGAGAAAGACAAGAAUUUUCAGAUCCCGCCUUAUUGGCCCACUCUUCUAUUGAUGUUAUAUUCAUUUCUGCAACUAUAGAGGCCGAAGUAACUCCUUCUGUUAUUCUGUUGGGGUCUUGCCAUUAUGAAGAACGCCUUCUUCCAACUCUUGUAUCACUGUUUUCCCUCUUCCUACAGCCCAGGAACAUCAAAGGUGCCUUUACUGGCCAACAACUUUGCGUCGCAGAUCUAGAAUUUAGCAAAUGUUUCAGUCUCAGGAACACUGGACAAUAUGUCAUUUCCCUGGGCUGAGAAAGUACUGCAUUUUCCCUUUGGUUUUCUCAUUCCUUUUUCUUGGGAUCUUGAAUUAUCUCACUUUCUGGUAAGUUUACCCAACAGAGCCUGCAGAAAUACUUUGUAAGAUAUUAUUUUUAGAAUGUUGAUUAUAUACAAUUUAAUAAAUUUGCAAUUUUAGUUUACCA